rnacentral:tRNA from 1 species
GGAGGUGUGGCUGAGUGGUCGAAAAGCGGUGUCGCCGUAAGGCGACCGGAGGUUCGAAUCCUCCCACCUCCG